UGCAAGUCGAGCGGACAGAUGGGAGCUUGCUCCCUGAUGUUAGCGGCGGACGGGUGAGUAACACGUGGGUAACCUGCCUGUAAGACUGGGAUAACUCCGGGAAACCGGGGCUAAUACCGGAUGCUUGUUUGAACCGCAUGGUUCAAACAUAAAAGGUGGCUUCGGCUACCACUUACAGAUGGACCCGCGGCGCAUUAGCUAGUUGGUGAGGUAACGGCUCACCAAGGCGACGAUGCGUAGCCGACCUGAGAGGGUGAUCGGCCACACUGGGACUGAGACACGGCCCAGACUCCUACGGGAGGCAGCAGUAGGGAAUCUUCCGCAAUGGACGAAAGUCUGACGGAGCAACGCCGCGUGAGUGAUGAAGGUUUUCGGAUCGUAAAGCUCUGUUGUUAGGGAAGAACAAGUGCCGUUCAAAUAGGGCGGCACCUUGACGGUACCUAACCAGAAAGCCACGGCUAACUACGUGCCAGCAGCCGCGGUAAUACGUAGGUGGCAAGCGUUGUCCGGAAUUAUUGGGCGUAAAGGGCUCGCAGGCGGUUUCUUAAGUCUGAUGUGAAAGCCCCCGGCUCAACCGGGGAGGGUCAUUGGAAACUGGGGAACUUGAGUGCAGAAGAGGAGAGUGGAAUUCCACGUGUAGCGGUGAAAUGCGUAGAGAUGUGGAGGAACACCAGUGGCGAAGGCGACUCUCUGGUCUGUAACUGACGCUGAGGAGCGAAAGCGUGGGGAGCGAACAGGAUUAGAUACCCUGGUAGUCCACGCCGUAAACGAUGAGUGCUAAGUGUUAGGGGGUUUCCGCCCCUCAGUGCUGCAGCUAACGCAUUAAGCACUCCGCCUGGGGAGUACGGUCGCAAGACUGAAACUCAAAGGAAUUGACGGGGGGCCCGCACAAGCGGUGNAGCAUG
rnacentral:rRNA from 1 species